rnacentral:rRNA from 1 species
CCUACGGGAGGCUGCAGUGAGGAAUAUUGGUCAAUGGACGCAAGUCUGAACCAGCCAUGCCGCGUGCAGGAAGACGGCUCUAUGAGUUGUAAACUGCUUUUGUACGAGGGUAAAUCCCGAUACGUGUAUCGGGUUGAAAGUAUCGUACGAAUAAGGAUCGGCUAACUCCGUGCCAGCAGCCGCGGUAAUACGGAGGAUUCAAGCGUUAUCCGGAUUUAUUGGGUUUAAAGGGUGCGUAGGCGGUUCGAUAAGUUAGAGGUGAAAUGUCCGAGCUCAACUCGGGAACUGCCUCUAAUACUGUUGAUCUAGAGAGUAGAUGCGGUAGGCGGAAUGUAUGGUGUAGCGGUGAAAUGCUUAGAGAUCAUACAGAACACCGAUUGCGAAGGCAGCUUACCAAUCUAUAUCUGACGUUGAGGCACGAAAGCGUGGGGAGCAAACAGGAUUAGAUACCCCUGUAGUC